rnacentral:rRNA from 1 species
UGAGUAACACGUGGGUGAUCUGCCCUGCACUUCGGGAUAAGCCUGGGAAACUGGGUCUAAUACCGGAUAGGACCACGGGAUGCAUGUCCUGUGGUGGAAAGCUUUUGCGGUGUGGGAUGGGCCCGCGGCCUAUCAGCUUGUUGGUGGGGUGACGGCCUACCAAGGCGACGACGGGUAGCCGGCCUGAGAGGGUGUCCGGCCACACUGGGACUGAGAUACGGCCCAGACUCCUACGGGAGGCAGCAGUGGGGAAUAUUGCACAAUGGGCGCAAGCCUGAUGCAGCGACGCCGCGUGGGGGAUGACGGCCUUCGGGUUGUAAACCUCUUUCACCAUCGACGAAGGCUCACUUCGUGAGUUGACGGUAGGUGGAGAAGAAGCACCGGCCAACUACGUGCCAGCAGCCGCGGUAAUACGUAGGGUGCGAGCGUUGUCCGGAAUUACUGGGCGUAAAGAGCUCGUAGGUGGUUUGUCGCGUUGUUCGUGAAAUCUCACGGCUUAACUGUGAGCGUGCGGGCGAUACGGGCAGACUGGAGUACUGCAGGGGAGACUGGAAUUCCUGGUGUAGCGGUGGAAUGCGCAGAUAUCAGGAGGAACACCGGUGGCGAAGGCGGGUCUCUGGGCAGUAACUGACGCUGAGGAGCGAAAGCGUGGGGAGCGAACAGGAUUAGAUACCCUGGUAGUCCACGCCGUAAACGGUGGGUACUAGGUGUGGGUUUCCUUCCUUGGGAUCCGUGCCGUAGCUAACGCAUUAAGUACCCCGCCUGGGGGAGUACGGCCGCAAGGCUAAAACUCAAAGGAAUUGACGGGGGGCCCGCACAA